rnacentral:rRNA from 1 species
GGCUCAGGAUGAACGCUAGCGGCAGGCUUAACACAUGCAAGUCGAGGGGUAUAGGGAGCUUGCUUCCUAGAGACCGGCGCACGGGUGCGUAACGCGUAUGCAAUCUACCUUUGCAGAGGGAUAGCCAGAGAAUUUGGAUUAAUACCUCAUAGUAUUUUCGGAUCGCAUGAUUUGAUUAUUAAAGUUCCAACGGUAAAAGAUGAGUAUGCGUCCCAUUAGCUAGAUGGUAAGGUAACGGCUUACCAUGGCUACGAUAGGUAGGGGUCCUGAGAGGGAGAUCCCCCACACUGGUACUGAGACACGGACCAGACUCCUACGGGAGGCAGCAGUGAGGAAUAUUGGACAAUGGGCGCAAGCCUGAUCCAGCCAUGCCGCGUGCAGGAAGAAGCAUCUAUGGUGUGUAAACUGCUUUUGUACGGGAAGAAACACUCCUACGUGUAGGAGCUUGACGGUACCGUAAGAAUAAGGAUCGGCUAACUCCGUG